rnacentral:rRNA from 1 species
GACGAACGCUGGCGGCGUGCUUAACACAUGCAAGUCGAACGGAAAGGCCCUGCUUUUGUGGGGUGCUCGAGUGGCGAACGGGUGAGUAACACGUGAGUAACCUGCCCUUGACUUUGGGAUAACUUCAGGAAACUGGGGCUAAUACCGGAUAGGAGCUCCUGCUGCAUGGUGGGGGUUGGAAAGUUUCGGCGGUUGGGGAUGGACUCGCGGCUUAUCAGCUUGUUGGUGGGGUAGUGGCUUACCAAGGCUUUGACGGGUAGCCGGCCUGAGAGGGUGACCGGCCGCAUUGGGACUGAGAUACGGCCCAGACUCCUACGGGAGGCAGCAGUGGGGAAUAUUGCACAAUAGGCGGAAGCCUGAUGCAGCAACGCCGCGUGCGGGAUGACGGCCUUCGGGUUGUAAACCGCUUUCGCCUGUGACGAAGCGUGAGUGACGGUAAUGGGUAAAGAAGCACCGGCUAACUACGUG